rnacentral:rRNA from 1 species
UACGGGGGGGGCAAGCGUUGUUCGGAAUUACUGGGCGUAAAGGGCUCGUAGGCGGCCAACUAAGUCAGACGUGAAAUCCCUCGGCUUAACCGGGGAACUGCCUCUGAUACUGGAUGGCUUGAGAUUGGGAGAGGGAUGCGGAAUUCCAGGUGUAGCGGUGAAAUGCGUAGAUAUCUGGAGGAACACCGGUGGCGAAGGCGGCAUCCUGGACCGACACUGACACUGAGGAGCGAAAGCCAGGGGAGCAAACGGG